AGUCACCCUCGCUACUUGUUGUGGCGAAGUUUCACCGGGGAGUGAGUGACCUGUCUGCUGUGUGGUUUGCUGUGGCUGCACCUGAUCUCUCUGAAAAUAUGGCUCUUACUGUAGCAAAGAUCUUCUUACCAACAGGUUCCCACACGAGACAAAGACAACAGUGUGGCUUGGAUUACACUACAGGGAAAAGAGACAAUAGAAAUAAUUUGAAGAUAUCGAUGUGCAAUUAUAGAAGAUUGCUCCUACUCACCAUCGUUAUACCAAAUCG